GUCUAUGGCCAUAACAAGCUGAACCCAUCUGAUCUCAGAACGAGACCUAGUUGGUGUUUGAAUGGGAGACCACCUAGGAGUACCAGGUACUAUGGCUU
rnacentral:rRNA from 1 species